CCCUGGGAAGUCUCGCUUGUGGGCACCGGCUCAGGGGCGGUGGCGGUAGGGACGGCCUCCGGCGUUUUGUGACACCCCCCCCCCAACCCCGCCUGCUUCCCCUGGUUCUCCCCCGGCUGGCGGCGACCGGCCACAGCUGCAGCGGGCUCGGGGCGUGCGGCCUGGAAUUUUCCUGACACCUUGAACAUGAGCCCCACACAAUGGGACUUCCCUGUGGAAUUAUGUUGUCGGCCUAUGGCUUUUGUUACUCUCACGGGCCUGGAUGUGGUUUAUAAUGCUGUCCAUCGAGCUGUCUGGGAUGCUUUCUGUGCCAAUCGGAGGGCUGAUCGGGUACCGAUUUCUUUCAAGGUGCUCCCAGGUGACCAUGAGUAUCCCAAAUGUAGACCCAAGAGAACUUCGUAUGAAUGGUACAUUCCCAAAGGGAUCCUAAAGACAGGCUGGAUGAAUAAACAUCUGAAUCUGGUGCCAGCCCUGGUGGUUGUGUUCUACGAACUAGACUGGGAUGAGCCCCAGUGGAAGGAAAAGCAGUCUGAGUGCGCGACCAGAGUGGAAAUAGUUAGGCAGAGUUUACAAGGGAGAAACACAAAAGUUGCAGUGGUUCUGAUUCAGAAGAAAACCCCUUUGCCCCCAGGAGAAGAUGUCAUUGCUUCAGAAAGGGCUGCAGCCUUGUGCAAUGCGUGUGAACUCUCGGGGAAGUCUUUGUUUGUACUGCCCCAUACGGACCACCUUGUGGGCUAUAUUAUAAGAUUAGAAAACGCCUUUUAUGAACAUGCACAGACUUAUUACUACACUGAGAUUCGAAGAGUGAAAUCUCAUAAAGAAUUUUUGAAUAAAACAACACACCAGCUUUUAUUUGUUAGACAUCAGUUCAAAAUAGCUUUCUUCAGUGAGUUGAAACAAGAUACACAAAAUGCUCUGAAGAAUUACAGGACCGCCUAUAAUCUUGUACAUGAAUUGAGAGCCCAUGAAACUAAUAUUCUGGAAAUUAAGACCAUGGCAGGAUUUAUAAACUACAAGAUCUGUAGGCUGUGUUUUCAGCACAACACCCCAUUGGACGCAAUUGCUCAGUUCCGAAAGCACAUCGACUUGUGUAAGAAAAAAAUCGGAAGUGCAGAGUUGUCUUUCGAGCAUGCUGCAUGGAUGUCUAAACAAUUCCAGGCCUUUGGAGAUUUAUUUGAUGAAGCUAUCAAGUUGGGGUUGACAGCUAUUCAAACUCAGAAUCCUGGUUUCUAUUACCAGCAGGCAGCAUACUAUGCCCAGGAGCGGAAACAGCUUACGAAAACCCUCUGUAACCACGAAGCUUCUGUAACGUAUCCCAGUCCUGAUCCCUUAGAAACACAAACAGGAGUUCUUGACUUCUAUGGACAACGAUCAUGGCGACAAGGAAUACUAAGUUUUGAUCUUUCUGAUCCCGAAAAAGAGAAGGUGGGGAUUCUUGCCAUUCAGCUGAAGGAAAGAAGUGUUGUUCACUCUGAAAUAAUAAUAACUCUUCUGAGCAAUGCUGUUGCGCAAUUUAAGAAAUAUAAGUGUCCAAGAAUGAAAAGUCAUCUGAUGGUUCAAAUGGGAGAGGAAUAUUAUUAUGCAAAGGAUUAUACCAAAGCUUUGAAGUUGCUGGAUUAUGUAAUGUGUGAUUAUCGGAGUGAAGGAUGGUGGACCCUGCUCACAUCUAUACUGACCACAGCUCUGAAGUGUUCCUACCUCAUGGCCCAACUGCAAGAUUACAUCACUUAUUCCCUAGAACUCCUUGGAAGAGCUUCAACUCUGAAAGAUGACCAGAAAUCUCGGAUAGAAAAGAACCUCAUAAGUGUUUUAAUGAAUGAAACUCCUGCUCCUGAACCUGACUGUGACAUAUUAGCUGUGAAAACUGCUCAGAAGCUGUGGGCGGACCGAAUUUCUCUGGCCGGCAGCAAUCUUUUCACAAUAGGCGUACAGGACUUUGUGCCAUUUGUGCAAUGCAAAGCCAGGUUCCACGCCCCAAGUUUUCAUGUCGAUGUUCCCGUGCAGUUCGAUAUUUAUCUGAAGGCUGAUUGUCCACAUCCCAUUAGGUUUUCUAAGCUCUGUGUCAGCUUUAAUAAUCAGGAAUACAACCAGUUCUGUGUAAUCGAAGAAGCAUCCAAAGCGAGUGACGUUUUAGAAAAUUUGACUCAGGGAAAGAUGUGCUUAGUUCCUGGUAAAACAAGGAAGUUUUUAUUUAAAUUUGUGGCAAAAACUGAAGAUGUGGGAAAGAAAAUUGAGAUCACAUCCUUGGAUCUGGUUCUGGGCAGCGAGGCAGGAAGAUGCGUGGUCUUGAAUUGGCAGGGAGGAGGAGGAGAUGCCGCUUCCACCCAGGAAGCCUUACAGGCCGCCCGUUCUUUCAAAAGAAGGCCCAGGCUCCCUGACAGCGAGCUUCACUGGGACAGCAUAGUGAUCCAGGCGAGCACCAUGAUCAUUUCCAGAGUUCCAAACAUUUCUGUCCAUCUGCGACAUGAUCCUCCUGCCCUGACUAACGAAAUGUACUGUUUGGUUGUGACUGUGCAAUCGCACGAGAAGACCCCCAUCAGAGACGUGAAGCUCACUGCUGGUUUAAAACCCGGACAGGAUGCCAAUUUAACUCAGAAAACUCAUGUGACUCUUCAUGGAACAGAACCGUGUGAUGAGUCCUACCCGGCUCUACUCACUGACAUUCCUGUCGGAGACCUACAUCCCGGGGAGCAGCUGGAAAAAAUGUUAUAUGUUCGCUGUGGAACAGUGGGCUCAAGAAUGUUUCUUGUGUAUGUUUCUUACCUGAUCAAUACAACUAUUGAAGAAAAAGAAAUUGUUUGCAAGUGUCACAAGGAUGAAACUGUAACAAUAGAAACCGUCUUUCCAUUUGACGUUGCAGUUAAAUUUGUUUCUACAAAGUUUGAGCACCUGGAAAGGGUUUAUGCCGACAUCCCCUUCCUGCUGAUGACGGACCUGUUGAGUGCCUCCCCCUGGGCCCUCACCAUCAUCUCCAGUGAGCUGCAGCUUGCUCCUUCCAUGACGCCCGUGGACCAGCUGGAGUCCCAGGUGGACAACGUUGUCUUACGGACUGCAGAGAGUGCCAGUGAAUGCUUUUGUCUUCGUUGCCCAUCUGUUGGAAAUGUUGAAGGUGGAGUAGCAACUGGGCAUUAUAUUAUCUCCUGGAAGAGGACUUCAGCCAUGGACGACAUCCCUGUCAUCAGCACUGUCAUCACUCUGCCACACGUGAUUGUGGAAAAUAUCCCUCUCCAUGUGAACGCAGAUCUGCCAUCAUUUGGGCGUGUUAGAGAGUCGUUACCCGUCAAGUAUCACCUCCAGAAUAAGACUGACUUAGUUCAAGAUGUGGAGAUUUCUGUGGAGCCCAGUGAUGCCUUCAUGUUCUCAGGUCUUAAACAGAUUCGAUUACGUAUCCUCCCUGGCACCGAACAGGAAAUGUUAUAUAAUUUCUACCCUCUGAUGGCCGGGUACCAGCAGCUGCCAUCUCUCAACAUCAACUUGCUCAGGUUUCCCAACUUCACAAAUCAACUGCUCAGGCGUUUUAUACCCACCAGUAUUUUUGUAAAGCCCCAGGGCAGACUCGUGGACGACGCCUCCAUUGCUGCGGCGUGAUGUUCAGGACGGGCCUCGGCUGUUCUUACGGAGACGCCAGACAGAACCGUAUACGUUUUUCAUGCUUCGUGGAGCAGCUUUUACUAAGAGCACAGUUGCAGAGGUGUGGUGGAGUGCGUAGGACUGGAAAUAGAUCCGUCUUCUAGAGCCGGUGCCGCUCAUCUUCGGGGGGACUGGGGCAGUGACGGGCUGGGAGGACGUGAAUUCGCUGUUACCACAGCUUUACAGGUGGAGGCCACAGGAGUUUGUCGGAUUGUCUAGGGCCAGAUCCCAGCUCCGGUGGCUUUGUUCAUGUUGCCCUUUGUUUGUCUCUGUUCUUACCUGUAAGAUGUGGGUGAUGAUAACACUAUCUCAUAGACUUGGUAUGAGAAUGAUAAAAAUUAAAUACACAAGAGGAACCGUAAACAAAAAUUUCAUGAAAUAAUGCUUUCUAUAUGCUCUUAUAUUUUAUAUCCUACUCUGUUUUGUUAAAAAUAUUCCUGGUUUAACCUGCUGAAUUGAUUUCAUGACUGACUAAGGGGAUGUAACCUGAUGUUUGAAAAACUCAAAGGUCCAUCUCAUGCCGUGCUUAUGUAAUAAAGGUCUCAUGUGUUAACACCGCCAUCAUCAAACACUAAGUACUAAGUGCGUGUUAGAACAGAUGCAUCAUUGGCAUCCACUUUAAAAUUGUUAGCCUGAUGUCAGUGUGAUUUGUGUGAGUGUAAAUACACCACAUAAACAGGUCUGUGCUUUCCCUCAGUGGCGUAAUCCUUUCUCAACCAGGAAUUCUCCCAUGUCGUUCAUUUUACUGUGAAAGUAUUCUGUUCACUUGUUUUUAAAUUGCAAGUCUUAAUUCAGAAAUACAUGACAUCGUGAUCUUCCUGGGUCCCAAAAACAAAACUGUCACAGUAUUGCAGGACCUGUUGCCUCACUGAGGUUACAAGUGUCCAGAAGGACCUCAGAGUCUUUCCCUUCCUGCCUCUGUGCACCAGCCACAAUCAUCUGUCCCUCAUGAGAGGGCCCUGUCUUCUGUCUUAGUCCCGUGUUGCCAUUUGAGUCUCAAUAUUACUCCUUACCAGUAUUAUGCACCACUCCGGGGUACAAAUUUUUAAAUAAAGCAUUUAAAAUUUGGAA